rnacentral:rRNA from 1 species
AACGGGGGGUGCAAGCGUUGUCCGGAAUUACUGGGCGUAAAGGGCGUGUAGGCGGCACAUCAAGUCAGAUGUGAAAUCCCUCGGCUUAACUGGGGAAUUGCAUUUGAAACUGGUGAGCUUGAGUACGGUAGAGGGAAGGGGAAUUCCCGGUGUAGAGGUGAAAUUCGUAGAUAUCGGGAGGAAUACCAGUGGCGAAGGCGCCUUCCUGGACCAGUACUGACGCUGAGACGCGAAAGCGUGGGGAGCAAACAGGAUUAGAUACCCUGGUAGUCCACGCUGUAAACGAUGAACACUAGAUGUCGCGGGUAUCGACCCCUGCGGUGUCGCAGUUAACACGAUAAGUGUUCCGCCUGGGGAGUACGGUCGCAAGAUUAAA